UACGUAGGGUGCAAGCGUUAAUCGGAAUUACUGGGCGUAAAGCGUGCGCAGGCGGUGAUGUAAGACAGUUGUGAAAUCCCCGGGCUCAACCUGGGAACUGCAUCUGUGACUGCAUUGCUGGAGUAUGGCAGAGGGGGGUGGAAUUCCACGUGUAGCAGUGAAAUGCGUAGAGAUGUGGAGGAACACCGAUGGCGAAGGCAGCCCCCUGGGCCAAUACUGACGCUCAUGCACGAAAGCGUGGGGAGCAAACAGG
rnacentral:rRNA from 1 species